rnacentral:rRNA from 1 species
AUUGAACGCUGGCGGCAUGCCUUACACAUGCAAGUCGAACGGCAGCACGGGAGCUUGCUCCUGGUGGCGAGUGGCGAACGGGUGAGUAAUACAUCGGAACGUACCCAGGAGUGGGGGAUAACGUAGCGAAAGUUACGCUAAUACCGCAUAUUCUGUGAGCAGGAAAGCGGGGGAUCGCAAGACCUCGCGCUCUUGGAGCGGCCGAUGUCGGAUUAGCUAGUUGGUGAGGUAAAAGCUCACCAAGGCGACGAUCCGUAGCAGGUCUGAGAGGAUGAUCUGCCACACUGGGACUGAGACACGGCCCAGACUCCUACGGGAGGCAGCAGUGGGGAAUUUUGGACAAUGGGGGCAACCCUGAUCCAGCCAUGCCGCGUGAGUGAAGAAGGCCUUCGGGUUGUAAAGCUCUUUCGGCGGGGAAGAAAUGGCAACGGCUAAUAUCCGUUGUUGAUGACGGUACCCGCAUAAGAAGCACCAGCUAACUACGUGCCAGCAGCCGCGGUAA